AUUGAACGCUGGCGGCAGGCUUACCACAUGCAAGUCGAGCGAGCGGCGGACGGGUGAGUAAUGUCUGGGAAACUGCCUGAUGAAGUGGGAUUACUCCUGGAAACGGUAGCUAAUACCGCAUACCUUCAGCUGUGCCCAGAUGGGAUUAGCCAGUAGGUGGGGUAAUGGCUCCACUAGGCGACGAUCCCUAGCUGGUCUGAUAGGAUGACCAGCCACACUGGAACUGAGACCCGGUCCAAACUCCUACGGGAGGCAGCGGUGGGGAAUAUUGCACAAUGGGCGCAAGCCUGAUGCAGCCAGGCCGCGUGUGUGAAGAAGGCCUUCGGGUUGUAAAGCACUUGCAGCGAGGAGGCGUUACUCGCAGAAGAAGCGCCGGCUAACUCCGUGCCAGCAGCCGCGGUAAUUC
rnacentral:rRNA from 1 species